GGCCCGGUGGCGAAGUAGAAACGCUAGAGUCUGCAAAACUCUCAUGCGCGGGUGCGAUUCCCGCCCGGGCCU
rnacentral:tRNA from 1 species